AGUUUUAUUGCUGCAUCCCUCCUGUGGAGAAAGAGGGCUUGCCCACUGUCAUGAGCUCCAAAACAUCAUUCUGUAUUUCAUUUAAAAACAAACCUUGAGAGGCUGGGAAAGAAAGAGAACUAAGAGAAGAAGUCAACCCCCUGUGUUUGCUGUGAGAAACCACAGAAGCCAGCAAGUGAAGGUAAAGACUUGCUAUGCUGACUCAGAGGGAAGGUGGAACAAGCCUGGGCUCCUGCCUCUGACAGUGGCCAGAGAAUCUUCAAGAAAGUCAAAGAAGAAAACAAGCACUUUUCCCUGAUUCAUCCUCUUCACAAAGAAAGAAAAUGCUGGUAAGCAGUGGUACACAUCCAGGGAAAAUGUCAGCACUUAAACCCGAGCCGUGCUUUUCCCUCUGAGCUGUCAUAGCUGGAUCCUCUGCC
rnacentral:lncRNA from 12 species